UGGGGAAUCUUGCACAAUGGGGGCAACCCUGAUGCAGCGACGCCGCGUGAGCGAUGAAGCCCUUCGGGGUGUAAAGCUCUUUCGGCAGGGAAGAUAAUGACGGUACCUGCAGAAGCAGCUGCGGCUAACUACGUGCCAGCAGCCGCGGUAAUACGUAGGCAGCGAGCGUUGUUCGGAGUUACUGGGCGUAAAGGGUGUGUAGGCGGUUCUUUAAGUUUGGUGUGAAAUCUCCCGGCUCAACCGGGAGGGUGCGCCGAAUACUGAGGGACUAGAGUACGGGAGAGGAAAGUGGAAUUCCUGGUGUAGCGGUGAAAUGCGUAGAUAUCAGGAGGAACACCGGUGGUGUAGACGGCUUUCUGGACCGUAACUGACGCUGAGACACGAAAGCGUGGGUAGCAAACAGGAUUAGAUACCCUGGUAGUCCACGCCCUAAACGAUGCAUAUUUGGUGUGGGUCAUUCAGUUGAUCCGUGCCGGAGCUAACGCGUUAAAUAUGCCGCCUGGGGAGUACAGUCGCAAGGCUGA
rnacentral:rRNA from 1 species